rnacentral:rRNA from 1 species
GCAGCCGCGGUAAUACGUAGGGGGCUAGCGUUAUCCGGAAUUACUGGGCGUAAAGGGUGCGUAGGUGGUUUCUUAAGUCAGAGGUGAAAGGCUACGGCUCAACCGUAGUAAGCCUUUGAAACUGGGAAACUUGAGUGCAGGAGAGGAGAGUGGAAUUCCUAGUGUAGCGGUGAAAUGCGUAGAUAUUAGGAGGAACACCAGUUGCGAAGGCGGCUCUCUGGACUGUAACUGACACUGAGGCACGAAAGCGUGGGGAGCAAACAGGAUUAGAUACCCG